UCUCCCGCCUCCACCAGCGAGCCUCUCUGCUCUCCCUCGCUCCGAUCUGGUGGAGCCACCGCCCCCAACCUCUCUCUCCGACUUCGAUCCGCCGCCGCCUCCAACCGCUCUCACCCCACUCUUCUUCCCUUCCUCCUCGGGCAGCCCAGUCAUCGUCGCGACCGAGGACCAGAGACGCGGACCGUCGUUGGUGCCUGCGCUUGGGAGAAUUGAGGGCUGGCUCACGCCAACGCGGCGCCGUGGCGAGAUCCGGCCGGGCGCCACGUCGCUGGACCCCUCCUGGCGCGGCAGAUCUGGCCAGCGUAGGGUAGGUGUCGGCCCACCGCCGAUCCGCCCCGGCGCCUCCGCGGCCAGGCGGCAGCGAGCAGAUCUGGGUCGGGUCCCCGCCUAGAGAGGUCGGAUGGGAUGGUGCUCUCCGGGAUGCGGGGGCUGUCGGUCUUCAUCAGCGACAUCCGCAACUGCCACAACAAGGAGCAGGAGCGCCUCCGCGUCGACAAGGAGCUCGGCAACAUCCGCACCCGCUUCAAGAACGAAAAGAUUGCCAAGGCCGGUGGUGAGAAGUGGAAGUCCUGAAUGAUGUUGUAAGUUCAUGCCGGUCAUCGAUAGGAAGGCCGGCUACUCCUUCGUCUACCCAUUCGGAUGGAGGUGUCUGUGCAAGGGCAGGACAAGGUGUACAAGGACGUGAUCAAGCCGCUGGAGAGCAUCAGCAUCAACAUGACCUCCACCACCAAGGAAGACAUCCGCGACCUCAGCCCGCCUGACCCCGCCGUCCGCGAGUGGACCUCAAGACUGUCGUGUACCACGCCGAUGACGUCCUCGACGACUUCCUCUAUGAGGUGCUGCACCGCCGUGCAACCCAGAUCCGCCGCCGCUGCUCCACUACUCGCAAGGUUGGCCACGCGGGCAAGCGACCAGCACGACGCCUGGAGAGGAGAGGAGAGCCUUCUCCUCACAGUAGAGUCGCCGGCCUUGUCUUGCUCGAGGAGGAGCAGGAGGGGCGCACCCAGCCACCACAGUCAUUGCCGUACCACCUAGACCUCGAAAUCCACGGCGGCGUCGUCCAGCCACCCAACUCCCCUCCGUCCCCUCUCCCCUCCUUGUUUCAUUCGAUCUAGCAGCCAUGGAUUUGGGUUCCUCAAGGCUGCCUAAUUACUUUACUUUGUAUGGAUCCAAUAAUUUUGUUUGGUACAAAAUAGCACCACCCUAGUUUGUCUACAAUUUUGUUUACGGUGAUGCCCCUGCAUAGGAUGUGCAGCAAGCCUUCCAAUCUGCUUGUUUCGUUUCUGUUAGUGUGUGUAUGUGCAAAAUGAUAGGCGCCUACCUUGUAUCUUUCUUUCUAGAUAGCAUUCUAGUGUGGUAACAUAUGAUUUACAGUUGCCUGUUCAUGAUGCUAUACAAACUCUAAAAAUUGGCACUUCAGUCAAGUAUGGUUCCUUUCUGAACAAUUGUUUCUACUUUUCCAUCCUGGAAUCCGAUUGCAUGCUAUCGUAGAUGGGUCUGGGUGUGCAGUGUUGCUGUUGUGUUACAAUUGCUGUGGUUUAUGUUGACUGAAAAUGGGCUGUUUGUUUCAGAGGAGUGCCGCUGAUAUGAUACUGCGGGAUCUACAAAAUAACCCUGAGAUGUGGCUGCAAGUGGUGCACAUCCUGUAGAACUCCCAGAACCUCAACACCGAGUUCUUUGCCCUUCAAAAUUGCCAUGGUGUUGUUUUAUGUGCAGAAAAAAAAAGUUCCCGGAAUGACCUGAAACUUCACGAGGGUGGGGGGCACCCCCCCUAGGGUGCGCCCCCUACCUCGUGGGCCCCCUGGAGCUCCUCCGACGCCAACUCCGACUCUAUAUAUUUCCUUUCGGGGAAAAAAAAUAAAGGAGAAUACAUCAUCGCGUUUUACGAUACGGAGCCGCCGUCAAACCCUAAAAGCUCUCGGGAGGGCUGAUCUGGAGUCCGUUCGGGGCUCCGGA